GAGAAGUGCAAAAAAGAGGAUUGUGGAGAAAGAUAAAAAGGAAAGGACAUAUAUUUGUUCAAGUAAAUGAGAGGAGAAUCUGCUGCAUGGACAAAGCCUCAGUCCUUCCUUAAAAUGUUGACUGCUACCUUGAUUUACAAUUCGUACCUUCCCUACUUUGCUGCAUUUUUCCUUUUCAGCACCUCCCCCCACUUUUAAAAAACUAAUUUGCUCUUCUCUGGGCUUUCCCCUGCAGCCCUCUCCACAAUAGAUGAUUGUCCCGCACAGAUGCCGUCCUGCCACGAAGGCUCUUAGCCUUUCUGGCUGCUCCGCCCGCCGCUCGCCAAGUGAGGACAGAGGGUCUUUCUCUGGGGUGUGCUUUAUUUCAUAUGUGCUCAGCCGGCCUACCCUGGCUCUUCUAAUACAUAUUAAUGCUUUUCUCUCCCUGACUUAUGAGGACAGGAUCGUUUGAUCAUUUCUUGUUUUGAAUGUUCUUUUUGUGCUGACAGAGAAAGAGAUGACUUGAUGUCUGCACUAGUUUCCGUAAGGAGCAGCUUGGCAGAUACGCAGCAAAGAGAAGCAAGUGCUUAUGAACAGGUGAAACAAGUUUUGCAAAUAUCUGAGGAAGCCAAUUUUGAAAAAACCAAGGCAAGUCUAAUAAGAUGCAAAUAAAAGUGUCUUUCUUUUUUUUUUCUUUUUUCUUCUGAGUAUUUAUUUGGUUAUUCUUCUAUAACUAAACUUUGUUUUUCAAACACACAAAGUGAAUUAUCAAUCUGUUAAUGUUGACUUUUCUGAAUUAAACAAAUUUGCUAUUUGGAGAAUUCUUACUGCUCUGCAAAUACUGUUGUUGUAUCACUGUUCAGAGAAUGUAGUACAGUAUAAUACUUUGAGAGACCUAUAUGCUUAAUCUUUUUAUUUGCUGAUAAUUUGCAAUGCUGCAAAAAUCUUAACACCCAGGCAUUAGUUUGUAUGUGUUCGUAUAUGACUAAAGACAAAUGUUUUUCCUCAAUAAUUGGGAAGUUUUGAGAAAAUCCAAAUAUACCAAAGACAAUAAUAUAUACAUAUUUAGUAGCAUUUUUUUUUUUUUUUUUUUGAGACAGAGUCUUGCCCUGUCGCCCAGGCUGGAGUGCAAUGGCACGAUUUCGGCUCACAGCAACCUCUUCCUCCUGGGUUCAAGUGAUUCUCCUGCCUCAGCCUCCCAAGUAGCUGGGAUUACAGACACGGGCCAUCAUGCCCAGCUAAUUUUUGUAUUUUUAGCAGAGAUGGUGUUUCACCAUGUUAGCCAGGCUGGUCUGGAACUCAUGACCUCAGGUGAUCUGCCCAUCUCGUCCUCCCAAAGUGCUGAGAUUACAGGCGUGAGCCACUGCGCCCGGUCUUAGUAGCAUCUUUGAGUCUGGACUUACUGUAAGCACCCUUCACAAUAGCAAACGUAAACGAUGGAAUUGAUGGAAUCAACCGAAAUUGACGGAAUCAAUCUAAAUGUUCAUCACUGACAGAUUGUAUAAAGAAAAUGUGGAACAUGGACACCAUGGAAUAGUAUGCAGCCAUAAAAAGAAUGAGAUCCGAUCUUUUGCAGGAACAUGCAUGGAGCCGGAGACAGUUAUCCUUAGCAAACUAACGCAGGAACAGAAAGCCAAAUACUGCAUAUUCUUACGUAUAAGUGGGAGCUAAAUGAUAAGAACUUAUGAGCACAAAGUAGGAAACCACAGACAGUGGCAUCUCCUUGAGGAUAUAGGGUGGGAGCAGGGAGAGGAGCAGAAGAGAUCACUAUUGGGUACUGGGCUUAAUACCUGGGUGAUAAAAUAAUCUGUAUAACAAAACCCCGUGACAUGAGUUUGCCUAUGUAACAAACCUUCACAUGUACCCCCGAACCUAAAAUAAAAGU
rnacentral:lncRNA from 1 species